UUACAGCGCAUCCAGGCGGUCUGUCAAGUCAGAUGUGAAAUCCCCGGGCUCAACCUGGGAACUGCAUUCGAAACCGGCAGGCUGGAGUCUUGUAGAGGGGGGUAGAAUUCCAGGUGUAGCGGUGAAAUGCGUAGAGAUCUGGAGGAAUACCGGCGGCGAAGGCGGCCCCCUGGACAAAGACUGACGCUCAGGUGCGAAAGCGUGGGGAGCAAACAGGAUUAGAUACCCUGGUAGUCCACGCCGUAAACGAUGUCGAUUUGGAGGUUGUGCCCUUGAGGCGUGGCUUCCGGAGCUAACGCGUUAAAUCGACCGCCUGGGGAGUACGGCCGCAAGGUUAAAACUCAAAUGAAUUGACGGGGGCCCGCACAAGCGGUGGAGCAUGUGGUUUAAUUCGAUGCAACGCGAAGAACCUUACCUGGUCUUGACAUCCACAGAACUUUCCAGAGAUGGAUUGGUGCCUUCGGGAACUGUGAGACAGGUGCUGCAUGGCGACGUCAGCUCGCCGCCCUGCACCAAAAAU
rnacentral:rRNA from 1 species